UACGGGGGGGGUAAGCGUUGUUCGGAAUUACUGGGCGUAAAGGGCUCGUAGGCGGCCAACUAAGUCAUACGUGAAAUCCCUCAGCUUAACUGGGGAACUGCGUGUGAUACUGGAUGGCUUGGAUUUGGGAGAGGGAUGCGGAAUUCCAGGUGUAGCGGUGAAAUGCGUAGAUAUCUGGAGGAACACCGGUGGCGAAGGCGGCAUCCUGGACCGACACUGACACUGAGGAGCGAAAGCCAGGGAGCAAACGGG
rnacentral:rRNA from 1 species